GCGUUCGCCCGUGAUGAAAAGGGAAUCGGGUGCAAAUCCCGGACAGUCCUCGCUGCUGUGAGUCUUAUCUUUCGAGCGUGAAAGAGCCGAACUCCCGACAAUCUCUGCCACUGACCGUUCAGCCGGUCGGGAAGGCGUCGGGGGAAGACGAGUCAGAAGACCUGCCUUGCGA
rnacentral:ncRNA from 1 species